rnacentral:rRNA from 1 species
CCUACGGGUGGCAGCAGUGAGGAAUAUUGGUCAAUGGACGGGAGACUGAACCAGCCAAGCCGCGUGAGGGAGGAAGGUCCUGUGAGUCGUAAACCGCUUUUGUCAGGGAACAAAUCCCGAUACGUGUCUCCGGCUGAGUGUAUCUUACGAAUAAGGAUCGGCUAACUCCGUGCCAGCAGCCGCGGUAAUACGGAGGAUGCAAGCGUUAUCCGGAUUUAUUGGGUUUAAAGGGUGCGCAGGCGGUGUGUUAAGUUAGCGGUCAAAGCCCGGGGCUCAACUCCGGCUCUGCGUUUGAUACUGGCAGGCUCGAGUUGGGGAGCGGUAGGCGGAAUGUGUGGUGUAGCGGUGAAAUGCAUAGAGAUCACGCAGAACACCGAUUGCGAAGGCAGCAUGCCGGA